rnacentral:rRNA from 1 species
AUGCUAAAGACUGGGGCUCAACCCCAGGGGUGCGUUGGAUACUGUGAGGCUAGACGGUCGGAGGGGGUAGCGGAAUUUCCGGAGUAGCGGUGAAAUGCGCAGAUACCGGAAGGAACGCCAAUAGCGAAGGCAGCUACCUGGACGACUUGUGACGCUGAGGCGCGAAAGCGUGGGGAGCAAACCGGAUUAGAUACCCGGGUAGUCCACGCCCUAAACCAUGAGUGCUGGGUGUCCGGCUUCUGCUGGGUGCCGUAGCUAACGCGCUAAGCACUCCGCCUGGGAAGUACGCACGCAAGUGUGAAACUCAAAGGAAUUGACGGGGGCCCGCACAAGCGGUGGAGCAUGUGGUUUAAUUCGAAGCGACGCGAAGAACCUUACCAGGCCUUGACAUGCCCGGAACCCCUCUGAAAGGAGGGGGUGCCCGCAAGGGAGCCGGGACACAGGUGCUGCAUGGCCGUCGUCAGCUCGUGUCGUGAGAUGUUGGGUUAAGUCCCGCAACGAGCGCAACCCCUAUCCCUAGUUGCCAGCAGUUCGGCUGGGCACUCUAUGGAGACUGCCUGCGAAAGCAGGAGGAAGGCGGGGAUGACGUCUGGUCCGCAUGGCCCUUACGGCCUGGGCGACACACGUGCUACAAUGCCAAGGACAGAGCGCUGCUACCUCGCGAGAGGACGCCAAUCGCAAAAACCUUGGCUCAGUUCGGAUUGGAGUCUGCAACUCGA